CCGCACUGCCAAGUGACUGGACUUCCUCUUCUGUGGUCUUCCAAUCUCAUUCCGGUGCCAGAGUGACCUCCGUUUGCAGAAGGGUUGAGCUAGACUCAUGACUCCCCCCUUUCGAAGACAGAGAACACAU